AUGCCAGCCGUGGCGAGCUUCAGGGCCCGGGCGUCUGCACCAGCACCCGAGAUGCCGUCCUUCUCCUCCGGUGCUUCUCCGCAGAAGCAGCAGCAUAACGCAAGGAGGAAGCAGCUGAUUCGUCAGCAGAGGAAGUCGCUUCCCAUCGCGUCAGUGGAGAAAAGACUUGUCGAUGAGGUGAGGAAGAAUGACACGCUGAUUGUUGUCGGCGAGACCGGUAGUGGCAAAACGACUCAGUUGCCACAGUUUUUGUAUGAUGGUGGGUUUUGUCAGGAUGGAAAAGUGAUUGGCAUCACUCAGCCUCGAAGAGUUGCAGCUGUGACAGUAGCAAAGCGUGUCGCCGAGGAAUGCAAUGAUCAGUUGGGCAGAAAGGUUGGAUACUCUAUAAGAUUUGAUGAUUCCACAUCUAAUGCAACAAGGAUUAAGUACAUGACCGAUGGUUUGCUUCUAAGGGAAGCCCUUUUGGAUCCACUCUUGUCUAAGUAUAGUGUUAUAGUUGUUGACGAGGCCCACGAAAGAACUGUCCAUACUGAUGUAUUGCUGGGUUUGUUGAAAAAAGUGCAGCAUUCCCGAUCUCUUCAUGUGAAUAAAAAUGGAAAGAUUUCUGACAGACCAGAUCACUCUCAAUCUUCUACCCUGAAGGCAUGCCAGGGAAUAAAGAUUGCACCUCUAAAGCUGAUUAUUAUGUCUGCCAGUCUGGAUGCGAAGUGUUUUUCUGAUUAUUUUGGUGGCGCUAAAGCUGUACAUAUUCAAGGACGGCAAUACCCCGUCGACACACUGUAUACUUAUCAGCCUGAGUCGGAUUAUCUAGAUGCUACACUAGUUACGAUCUUUCAGAUCCAUUUGGAGGAAGGACCUGGAGACAUUCUUGCAUUUUUAACUGGUCAAGAGGAGAUUGAAUCCCUAGAGAGGCUUAUUCAAGAGCGUGCUCGUCAACUUCCAGCAGAUAGUAGCAAGAUAUGGAUUACACCUAUCUACUCGUCUCUUCCAUCAGAACAGCAAAUGAAUGCAUUUAAGCCAGCACCUUCUGGAGCCCGGAAGGUAGUUCUAGCAACGAAUAUCGCAGAGACUUCUGUAACAAUACCUGGUAUUAAAUAUGUUAUUGAUCCUGGUAUGGUCAAAGCACGCGCCUACAAUCCUGUAACUGGAAUGGAGUCCCUAAUCAUCAUUCCUGUCUCUAAAGCACAGGCUCUUCAAAGGAGUGGCCGUGCUGGACGUGAGGGGCCAGGGAAGUGCUUUCGGUUGUUCCAAGAAUGUGAGUUCGAUAAACUGGCGGAAUCGACUAUUCCUGAGAUUAAACGAUGUAACCUCGCAAAUGUUGUACUACAACUCAAAGCUCUUGGGAUUGAUGACAUCAUAGGUUUCGAUUUUAUGGAGAAACCAUCAAGGACGUCCAUUUUGAAAUCAUUGGAGCAAUUGAUUUUACUAGGAGCUUUGACUGAUGAUUAUAAGCUGUCAGAUCCAGUGGGUAAACAGAUGGCUAGGCUGCCUUUAGAUCCCAUGUACUCCAAGGCAUUGAUUGUGUCGAGUGAAUUCAAGUGCUUGGAAGAAAUGUUGAUUGUUGUUUCUAUGCUUUCAGUGGAGUCAAUUUUCUUCACCCCACGUGAGAAGUUGGAAGAGGCAAGAGCUGCUAGGAAGAGUUUUGAAAGCUCUGAAGGAGACCAUAUAACUUUGGUGAAUGUAUAUCGAGCUGCCGCAGAAUGCUUGGAAAAGAGCAAAAACGCAAAUGCUAAAGAAAAGACAAUGGAAAAGGCUUUGAACAGAUGGUGCUUCGAAAACUUCAUCAAUUAUCGAUCUUUAAGACAUGCUCGUGAUGUUCACAGCCAAAUCCAGGGUCAUGUCCAACAAAUGGGGCUUAACCUGUCAUCAUGUGGAGACGACAUGGUCCAGUUCCGGAGGUGCCUCACCGCUGCCUUCUUCCUGAACGCAGCAAUGCGACAGCCAGAUGGAUCAUUCAGGGCUCUCGCGACGGGGCAGAGCGUGCAGAUGCACCCUUCAUCGGUGCUGUUCCGGACCAAGCCGGACUGCGUCAUCUUCAACGAGCUGGUCCGGACGACGCAGAACUACGUCAAGAACCUCACCCGGAUCGACCCGCUGUGGCUGGCCGAGCUCGCCCCGCAGUACUACGCCACCGAAGACUAG
rnacentral:rRNA from 1 species